CUGUCUUUUGGGAUAUUAAAAGGCCAAGGUGGUUUGAAAAGUCUGACUAGUGCAAUUCUUCCUGAGCCAUUGCAUGAGCUUCCGCUGGGCGGGAAAUCCCAUGUUGUGAGUGGGGGAUUCACCCUUGUUGAGUGAACAGAGUGCUGACUCACUGAGAACCCGGGCCAGAGACCUGCAAACAAUGCUCAAUUAAUAUUUGCCCUGGCCGGUGAACCCAGCAGAGGCUGUGCACGGAAGCCCAGAGCACGUCUGUCUCGAGGCUAGCUCAUAAAAGGUCUUUCAGCUUCUGUCUUCUGUCUCUUACUCUCCAGAUGUCUUGUUAGAAUGCUACCUCCUGGACCCAGCUGCCAGGCUCUGAGAAGCUCAAGUCACAUGGGGAGGCCACGUGUAGGUGACCUGGUCAACAGUCUCAGCCAAAGCCAACUCUCAAGUAGUCCCCUGUGGGUGCCAGACAUGUAGAUCAAGAAGCUUCUGGUUGAUUUCAACUGCCAGCUGCUUGCAUCACCCCCAGCUGAGGUCCCAGAUGUGGUGAAAAAGCAGCCACCCUCCCUGUGCUGGUUGGAAUUCCCUACUCAGAGAAUUCAUGUGCCUAAUAAAAUGGUUUUUGUUUAAGGCCACCACGUUUGGAGUUGUUUGUUAUGAAGCAGUAGACG
rnacentral:lncRNA from 10 species